rnacentral:tRNA from 1 species
GAGGGUGCAGCUCAGUGAUAGAGUGUGUGCUUGGUGUGUAUGAGGCCCUGGGUUCAAUCCCCAGUGCCUCCG